rnacentral:lncRNA from 13 species
AUUCCAUGAUUGUACAAUUCUGACAGAUGAAAACAAUUUCCAGCAUCAUUUCUUAUUGACACCAAUCCGUGUCCAGAACCUCUCACUUCUUACCUUCCAAGAAAAUCAGGAUUCCCUUUCCAUUUGCAGCCCUGCUGGCUCUGCUGUGCCAUUUAACACCCAAUUUCCCAGCCCAGCAGGAGCAGGAGCUGCUGAGCCUGAGUUCCCAAGCUCAGCAAGUCAGGGCAGGCACAGCCUAGCAGCAAAGCCCAGCUCUGCCAGGCGUGUCCUUGUGUGUCCCUGUGCCCAAACACUCCCACCCCACUGCCCAGCAAGGGACAGUGGAAGGGGACCGUCCCUCAGCAGGCACAGGGGGGAUUGUUGGGGUGUCUGUGCAGGGCAGGAUGAUCCUGUGGGUCCCUUCCAGGAUACUCUUGCUCCUCUGAUUCUGUUUGUGAGGUACCACAAUGAUCCUCAGCAGUGCAUCCUGGUAAAAAUCGGAUUUUCCGACUUGUUUCAGCAGCUACAGUGUCUGUGAUAUAUCCAACCCUUUUUUUUUAGUGGAAGCUGAUCCACCUGACAGUGGGAAUUGCAAUGAGUGCAGGGCAAUUAUGGUCUUGAUGCUACCAAGAGUGAGGUGAAGCAGAACAGAACUUUGUGUGUUGUAUCAGCAAAAUGUAGGGAUUUAUGUCCCAAAUUUUCCCAACAGAACAAUUCCCUCAGCAAACACAUCUGGAAAACAACCUGUGGAAAAUACAGCAACGGUUGCAGGGAAGUCAGAAGCCAAAGAGCCCCUUGCAGAGAUGUUGUGAGUGCUGAUACACCAAAAAAGAGAAUAUUUUAGCAAUUCCCAUGUUGAAACGAGAUACAAAAAAGUGAAACAAUGACUUGUGGCGUUGCUUUACGGGAUGUGCAACCCUGUGUGUUGUGUAAGAAGAUGUUCCAAGGCUGCCAGGCAGAACAACUCGUGCCCUUCUCAGCAGAACUCAGCGAGUAACAGCAACUCCUUCGCUGGGUAUGGAGCAGCGGAAUCUGCACAGCUCCCUCGCUGUCCGAAACUGGAGGAUCCGACACAAUCAGCAGUUCCCAGGAUCACUUCUUUUGCUGAUGCCUCCCUAACAUGCCCCAUUCCCAAGUUCUCAUGGCAAUCCCAGAUAAAACAGAAGGUCCCCAACGCCUCCCUCCUGUUCGUGGGGCAGCAAAGCACAGAAUCAAACCCUGAGCAUCCCCUGCAGCGAGGCAGCAGCUGGCAGUGCUGGCACCUUUCCCUUGGCACCACCAACCCCUCAGCCCCCGGUGUGGAACUAGCACAGGGAGCCCACAGCAUGCCCGCUUUGUUUCCUCAGCGAUUUAGGAGCGGCAGCAGCGGCCACACCAAACCCGUCCCGUGCUGCGCCCGGGCCAGGGGACAGGGACGGGCACCGGGCGAUGUCCCCGCAGUGCCACCCGUGGCACAACCCGCGCUCGGGAUUUGCUGUCUGUGCUGCACGGAGCCCUCACCCCGAAGCCCUCCUGAGGCUCCCGUGCUCACACGUGGGGCGGUGACACAUUCCCACGUCCCUGGUCCCGGCACAAGGAUCGGGAGGCGUCGGGAGAUGCGAGUGCAAGCGAUGCGCAGGGCUGGCUGCGGGCAUUUCCAUGGCAAUGCUGUUGUUUGUCUGGAGCUUUGUGUGUGCCAGGCGCUCUGGGAAGAGGGAACGAGACAAAGCCCAGGCGAUUUGCGGAUGGAUGACCCGGGGCUGCAGCCCGUGGGGGGACCUGUGCUGUCAUUCCCGAGGCAGGACCACUCAGUGCUGGCACUGCAAGCAGAGAUGGGCGGAAUGAACGGGGGGUGAAGGAGGAGCAGCACAGACCAGGAGCCACCACGGCUUUGGUGGCAGCACCAGCGUCACCUGUGGACUGCAACACCAGCACCCCUGGGAUUUGGGGUUUUGGUGGCUUUAACUGAGGUGGAGCCGUGUUCCACCUGCUGCAAGGUGAGUGUGGGCUGGGGAUGAGCACACAGUGCAACAGCAACAGAGAAAACAAAGCAGAAUUUCAUUUCCUGUAAGAACCAGCAGCUCUGCCCUGUUUGGUGAUGGCUUCUGACAGCCACACUGGAAACAGCAGGAAAAUUACCCUUAGAAAUCCACAGGACCAAACAAAUGCCCUUUAGCAGAGGGGUAAGGCAAAAGUUACCUUUUUUAACUUCCAUUCCUGCGCUCUUCACAUGAAAUCUGAACACUGACCAGCACGAAAAUGCCAAAGAAACUGGAAUGCUUUAAGUUUGCUUUCUUUCCCGUCUUCAAAAAAAAAACCGCAAAAGGCUCUUACCACUUUGUAGCCCUACCAAAAUAAAUGAUUACCAAUAAUGAAAUUGUUCCAUAUCACAUAAACAACGGCCCCAGGCCUCACUUUUUGGUGGAUGAUUUAUAUCUUAUGGUUCCCUUUGGCAGGGAGAGAAACAGCUCUGGCUCUAUCUCGAGAUAAAAACUAUAAACACAAAUAUCACACAGCAAAGGGCACUCCAAGUUUUGAAGUCCUGAGAGGCACAAUCCCAGGUUUUUCCAUAAUGUCACCUCACCCAGGGGAAACUGUUCCAGUUUCAGCAGAUUCCUGUUGGUUUCUCAAUUUCAGUGGGCAACACACAAUGGCUGAAGCCUGGGAGAAUCCAAGUGGGACUUUUUAUGUUGUGUCCCAUCCAAAGAUCCCUCCGUGGAUGAUCCUGGAACAACUGAGCUUUCCAGGAAAUCCUGGCUUCUCCUCCUAGGUCUUUGUCCACAGCCCAGCUCAGCUGUUCUCCCCUCUGGAGAACGAUCCAUGAGUUUCUUGCUCUCUGGCUGCCCUUCCAGACCACAAGUCCCUUUAGUGCAGGACCCAGGAAUGGGAGAAGGAGGACCAAUAUCUACAGUUAUGUAACUUGGCACCACCUGCUCUGAGAGUGGUGUUUGGGAAGGAGGGGAAAGUGAAACCCCCUUUGUUCAGUGGAAUUUUCCUCCGUGGAUAUGUUGGAUCUGCAGGGGCCAAGUUCUUGGAGGUGAGCUGGAAAAGAGGCAAUAAAAUCUCACAGCCCUGGAGGGCAGAGGGAUCCUGGGCUGGGUCAGGUCAAGGGAGGGGAUUCUGCCCUGGGAGACCCCACCUGUGGAGCCUCCAGCCCUGGGGCCCACCCAGGAAGGACGUGGAGCUGCUGGAACAAGUCCAGAGGAAGCCACAGAGCUCCUCCAGGGCUGGUGUCCCUCUGGAGCCAGGCUGCGAGAGCUGGGGGUGCUCACCUGGAGAGGAGAAGGCUCCAGGGAGAGCUCAGAGCCCCUUGCAGGGCCUAAAGGGGCUCCAGGAGAGCUGCAGAGGGACUGGGGACAAGGCAUGGAGGGCCAGGAGCCAGGGAAUGGCUUCCCAGUGCCAGAGGGCAGGGCUGGAUGGGAGAUUGGGCAGGAAUUGUUCCCUGGGAGGGUGGGCAGGCCCUGGCACAGGGUGCCCAGAGCAGCUGGGGCUGCCCCUGGAUCCCUGGCAGUGCCCAAGGCCAGGCUGGACAUUGGGGCUUGGAGCAGCCUGGGCCAGUGGGAGGUGUCCCUGCCAUGGCAGGGGAUGGAACAAGUUGAGCUUUAAGGUCCUUUCCAACCCAAACCAUUCCAUGAUUCUACGGCCUGGGAGAGGGAAGAGAGCUGAAGCCCAGGGACGGACAAGCUGGUGGAACGGCAGGGUUAGAGAGUGGAGCUUCCUCCUCUUCCCUGUUUGCUGAACUUAUUGAGGUCCUGGAAGGAGGAACCUUUCUCUGGCAGAGGCCUUAGGGGCCAUUUCCAUCCCAAACUUCUGAAGUGCUGAAGUUUAAUGGCAUUUUCACAGAAUCCCAGACUGGUUUGGGAUGGGAGGGACCUCAGAGCCCAUCCAGUGCCACCCCUGCCAUGGCAGGGACACCUCCCACUGUGCCAGGCUGCUCCCAGCCCCAAUGUCCAGCCUGGCCUUGGGCACUGCCAGGGAUCCAGGGGCAGCCCCAGCUGCUCUGGGGAGCGCCAGCUCCUCAUUCCUGUGGGCGCCACGCUGGUCCCAUCUUUGCCCACCCCAAAGCAGCUGCUGGGAGGAAAAAGGGCUGUGGAAAGGGAAAAUGGACCUGGAAGAGGCUGCUGAGUUCCGUGAGUGCUUUUCAACAAACAAGCAAAUGUGAUAAUGGGAGAAAAUGAGAGGCUUUUCCUGGCUGAAUAUGAAUGAGGGAUUUCAAAGGGAGAAAUCCUGCUCUCAGGAUACACUCGCCGUAUUUUCACAAGGAUUUGUCCUUCAGAGAUGGAUUAUACAACUUUUCUUAUUACAGGAAUGGGAAGAUUAAAGAUCCCAAACGCUCUGUACUUUGGAGUUGUCGUAAUAAAUGUGCCAGGAAUCUGGGGAGAUUUCCAAAAUGCAUUUUAAUCCAUAGUAGGCUGGAAGUUGUGCACUGUAAGGCAUUUUCAUUGUUAGAUGGCAGUAAAUAUAAAUUACUGAAGCAUCUGAAAAUCCUGUUGCACCCAGCAGCUCCCAGAGCAUUCCAAUCCUGUGUACACAGGCGUUUGGAAGGGAGGAAGGCAAAAAAGCUGUGACAAACCACCACUUAAUGACACAUUUGCCAAAUGGAGCUGGUGGUUUGCAUGCACAAAAGCUCUUCCUGCACCUCCUGAAGUGCACAAACAGCUUUUCUCCAUGCAAACCACCUCUGCAGGAUGUCCACACCUCCAUCCAGGAUGGUGCAAGGGCAGGGAGAGAUGGAAGACCCAGAUUUGCAAUUGUAGAGGCCAAGCUGAGGGCCCUUUUCAAGUUAGUUUCCAGCUCCUCAUUUAAAUACAUCUUUUAUAUUUAUAUUUUUAUAGACUGAAAUGUCUAGAAGAGAAGCCAUUGGGAGUUAAUCUCUCUCCCCUGCCCCAAACCCUUAUUUCAGACCCUCCCAACUGUGUUAGAUGUGAAAGGUCUGAGCAGGGAGCGUUAUCAGAGGGACUGCAGUGCCCAGGGGAUGAGUCAUGGAGCAGAAUCCCAGUCCUGCCUGUGGACAGAGCACUUGGAACACAAAAGGCUGGGAGGAGGAGGAGGAGGAGGAGGGACAGCACUGCAGCAGCCCACAGCUCCUGGGAGGCUGGAGGUGGAGCUGGCGGGUGAGAACUGCAGGAAUUGUUUCCAUCACAUGGUUAAUGACUCAGCAGCCUUAGCCCAAAAUAUUUAUUUUUUCUCCUCUCCACCAGCUCGUCUGUGGAAGAGAAUGGGGGCACUGGGAGAGGGGAGGGAGGCUGGGGCUUUGCUGGGUGAGCAUCACACGGGUUUUCCACUCUGGAUUUGCCAUCUCCAGGGUUGGAACACCUGGGCUGUGACACCCCCAGAGAGAUUCCAGCUGGAUUCGGUGCCCAGAACUGUCUGGAGUUUCGGGCAUCUCAAUAUAAAACAGGUCUGAAGCUCUUGGAGAGUGUCCAAAGGAGAGACACGAGGAUGGGGAAGGUUUGGACAGCGCUGCCAGGGAUGCCCAGGCUGGGAUUGUUGAAGUGUCUGUGCAGGGCCAGGGCUUGGAUCAAUGAUCCCUGCGGGUCCUUCCAGCUCAGGAGAUUGCAGGAUUCUAAGCUUGGAUCAAGGCCUUCAGCCAAUAAAUUCACCCUUCUCUUCCCCAGCACAAGGAAUUUGCACCCCCAGGAGCUGUCCUGAGGUGCAGCUGGAACCCCAGCAGCGACGAGGGUGCAAAGCAAGCCCUGACCACGCUGUCCCUGCAUUCCCAAACUCUGCCUCUCCCAGCCCCGGGAGCUGCCAGGAGGGGAGGAAUGGCCGAGAGGGGGGUGGGAGGAAUCCUCAUACACUCGGGCCACGCUGAGGCUGCUGCUGAGCUCGCUCUGUUUCUCCUGCUCCCAGAAUAAGAAGUGAGAUGAGCUGUACUUUUAUUUUAGGCCUAGCUUAAGCACACCCAAGGCUGGCUUGUGCACAGCCCUUGCACACUCUGCCCCUCCCUGGUGUGCAUUAUGUCACCGUGGCCCCAAAUCCCUCCACUUCCAGCCCGGCUUCCACACAGAACUUCUGCAGGGCAGUCACUUCCCGUGUUUUCCCUGCUGUUGGAGAAGUGUUAAUGUGGAUUUUGGUGCCUAUCUGGCCCACUGGCUUCUGUUCCCAGCGUUCCUAAGGACACCCACAGCCCUGGACAGUGGAGCCUUGCUAAAGCCUCCCACCAGCCCCAUGGCACAAGAGCUCCAGGCUGGAAGGUCACAUAUUCCUUCCCUCCUGUUCAUUCCCACUUUGGGGAAGCCCUGCCCUGCGAGGACACUCAGCUGCCUGCACUGUCCCUCCAGGGAUGGUGUAGUGGUUUUGAUUCAAAAUAUCCAUUAUUUACUUAUUUUCCUUCUGUGAGAUAAGAAUUAGGAGAAAAGCAAAGCAGGCACAAACCUUAAACAGUUGCAGUACAAUGAAAGAGCUUUAUUACUAA